UCCCUGGUGGUCCAGUGGUUAGGACUCCAGUCUUCUAAUGCAGGGGACCCGGGUUCGAUCCCUGGUCGGGGAA